AAAUAUAUUUAGACUAUAUUUAAACAAUAGUAAAAGGGCACUGGCACAACAAGCUUGCUAUCUUCUGUUUGGACUGUUCAAAAUGCAUUCAAACGACUCCUGAAAAUAGCUAUGUGUGAUUCUGUGGUUGACAGAAACUAUGAGUGGGACAUGUCUGUUUUGCACCAUAUAUGUCAAUGCAACCCACAUCAUUGGAGAUAUGCAAGAUUUCAUUUCUCAGCCACACACAAACACUCUCCAGCUGACUGUCAGGCCGCUGCCUGGUGUGAUAUUUACAUUAAUUCAUAUUUACACCACAAAAAAAAUCUUAUUUUUAAUCAGUAUUUUUGUCUGGUUUUCGAAGUAAAAACGAAUCUAACCAUCCUUAAAUUUAGAUACAUUGUUUUAAGAAACAAAAUGGAAUAAGUUAUUAAAAUUGAAUAUUCACAUUGACUGCAAUAAGUAUUUCAUCACUAAAGCCACCUAAAAAAAAACAAAAAAAACUUUAUAAUAGGUGGCCUUACCUACCAUGUACUAACAUCAUACACCUACUACGGAUUUACUGUGUAACUACAUGUUGUUCUGGAAAAUGACCACAUUUACUUCAAAUGUGUUUGAGUUAUGAUUAGGAUUAUAGAGGUUAGUUAGGUUUGGGGGUAAUGGUAAAAUUAGGAUUAGGAUUAUAGGGGUUAAAAUUCAGUUUGGGGAUAAGGUUAGCAUUAGGAUUAUAGGAUUUAGAUUUAGGUUUUUUGGUAAGAGUAGGCUCAGGAUUAUGAUUAUAAGGGGUUAGGGUUAGGGUUAGGGUUCCUUUAUUCCAGAUUGGAUGAACAAAAACUCAUUGCUGUGGGGAAUACGUACAGAAAUGCAACAGAAGCUAAAGUGUUCCUUCAUUACAUCUCUGAGGUUGAGAGGUUGAACACUGCAAAAUUCAUUGCACUUAUGACUGAUGGUUCAACAGACAGCUCUGUAAGUGAGGAGGAGAUGGUCUACGUUAGAACCUGUGUGGCAGGCAGUGUGGAGUCAAAGUUUAUAGGAAUAAAGGCGGUGGAGAGGGUAGAUGCAGAAAACAUUAACAGAUGUUGUCAAAGAGGUCAUGGGGACACUUAGUGAAGACUGGGAGAAGAAACUGGUGGCGAUAACCACAGAUGGUGCGGCUGUAAUGACUGGAUCAAAAAAUGGUGUUGUCUGUCGUCUAAAAAAAGAGAAAACAUAUGUUGUGGGAGUCCACUGUAUGGCACAUCGACUAGAGCUCAGUUUCAAAGAUGCAAUAAAAGGCGUCAGUCUUUUCCAGAGAGCUGAGGAACUUCUGAUAGGUCUAUACACUUUUUAUCACGUCAGUCCCCAAAACCGUGCAAAACUCAUCAACAGCUUCAACGAGUUGGCACUGACUCAGACCAGAAUAGGUGGCACAAGAUCUAACCUCCUACGUGCCUUAAACCACUUUUUUAGAGGAUACCCUGCUAUAACCCAACACCUACAGCAGGUGGGCCUCUCAAAUAAAAUGCUGAUUUUCUUAAGUUAAGUUAAACACUGAAACAUUUUAUGGUUGAAUAAUUAAUGAAAUGCCGUAACUGCAAGUCAUAAUUUGCUUAGCUAGACUGACUUAUGGCGCUUUUCCACUACAUGGUACGGCACGGUACGGUUCGGUACGGUUCACUUUUGGGAGGUUUUCCACUGGGUACAGUACCUGGUACUUUUUUUAGUACCACCUCGGCCGAGGUUCCAAGCGAACCGUACCGUUACCAAAACGUGACGUGUAAACUCUGCUGAUCACUGAUUGGCCGGAGAAAAUCGUCACUGCCUGCGUCAUUGAACUUGCGGCAUGAGUUCGCUUGAUGGAGUGACGCGGAAUGAAAAAGUUUUUCAGGAGUCAUGGCAGUAGAGACGGCGCAACUAUAACGAUACGUGAAUAAUCCUGCCCACUCUAAAGCGGUACUAAACUGCAGUGGAAACGCAAACCAAGCUGAACCGAGCCAUGCCGAGCCAAGCAGUACCACGCAGUGGAAAAGCACCAUUACUGUACUAUGAUAAACCUAUGUAUGUUUUUGUGCAAUUUUAGAUGACAUCCCCUGGUGGCCAAGAAGUCCAUGAGGUGCAGAAAAGCAAGGCCAAGAAAUUAAGCAACACUGCCAAAGAUGCUGCGGUGCUUAGAUUUUGUGGAUCUCUGUUUGACACUAUGACCCAUCUCAGUAGCUUUGUCUGAGUCUCUGCAGAGGCCUACAGCUGUCUGCGCUCCACACAAGCAGUGUUGCUUAAGUAUAAAACCAUAUUUUGGAGAUGCAGAAAUUGAGUGUUUAGUUCAUCCCCUGAAGUUAUUCCAGACCAGUGGACCAUGCUGAAAGCAAAGCUGUAUCUUGAGCCCCAGCAGCUGAAAACCCUGACUUGGGUGAACAUAAAUCGACUUCACGGAACAACCUACUCUGACAGUCCUGACUAUCCCUGCAUCAACUGCUGAGUGUGAGAGGGGAUUUAAUGUAAUGAAACAGGUCAGGCAUGGUGCUGACGCACAGUGUAACUGCCGUAAUGGCCACAAAGACCACUGAGAGGCAGGCAAAGAUCUUCCCAGGAAUCCCGGAGUGAGGGUUCUCCACC